CCUAUGAUUCUAUGAAGGGUACUGACAGAAGUGUGAGCAUAUCCAAAGCUAGAAUAACAAGGGAUGGCAGAGGUUAGGAAUGUGGUAUAUUGUGUAUGGUGAAAAUGUAUAUAGCACCUGCCAGCACUAUAACUGUAUCAACUCUUCUUAUCCCAUUUUACAGUCACAAGUGGUGAAUUCAGCCACAAACUCUAGGAAUAAUGUGGCAAAGAUGGUCUUUGAUGAGCUAUUUACUGGUCACUAGCGCGGAGGGGAAUGGAGGUGCCCAAAUGAUGGCUCUGGUUUUCCAGUUUGGCAUGCUUUGCCAAUGGAAACUUGUUGCCAACUCUGCAGGUGGUUCUCAUUAAAUAAAACAUGGACGCAGGCAGCUGCAGAAGUGGUUGUUUGAGAACCUAAAAGUGCACGAUACUUUCAUUGCCAGGGCACCCAUCAGAAGAAAAGACACUUCAAGAGCAAUGGUUAAGUGCCACUCCCUCCUCUGGGGUAACUGAGUCAGCACCAAUAAGUCCAACAUAACCUGACGACUUCCAGUGCUGUGUUCCAGUUGACUAAUAAACACGACAGUUUUGAUAACGCUAUUUAGGUGUUACUGCAAAUGCUUGCUGAGGUGCAUUAAUCCCUGAAGAGUAUACAAGUCUCUUCCAGGAGUCUGGCUCAGUUGGACUCCCUGAAAAGAGCUCACGGCCUGAAACAGGAGUGGUGGAGCCCUAGAAGUUCAGGCUAAGGAGGUGGUGAGGCUGUGUGGCCUACCCUGUGCAGGAAGAGUGAGACCCUUGGAGGUCUGGCACGUUCCUAGAGACUGCUCCGAAGCCGGGGGCAAAGCACUGAUCUGCAGCUCAGAUUUGUAGCUGUGUUUUUUGUUGUUUUGCAGUAUAGAUGUAUCCUAAGUGGCUUGUCCUCUGGAUCUAUGAUCAGUAACACAGCACAUGCAGUGAACUAAAUAGAUCUAAGAGGGCCUGAUGAAGGACAAAACACGUUAUCUAUCACCACAAGGAAUAUCAACACAGGGCGCUUAACCUCCUCCCCAAAAGUUACAAGUAACUCUAUUCAAGUCAAAGGGAAAAGAAGGCCCCAUUAACACAGGUACAUAUUGCAGAUGCUUUCUAGUGUUUAGGUUUUGCAUGAAACCAUGCCAUAUGCUCUGUACAUUUUGCUAUAUCCACUGCAUCCCACUUGUCACCAGAGCCUGUUAUUGUUUGCAAAAAGUAAAUCAAAUUAGUUUGCAACCUAUUAUUCUUGUGUACGCCCCAGGAGCUGAGUAUGUAACUCUUUAGGCCAAGAACCUGAUUGUUUCUUCUAGUGUUUUACGUGGUGCCAAGGUAAAAUGAACAGCCCUGCAACUUCCUGGCUUUACCCUCCCUACUCUGCACCCUCUUUUGGUGAUAUUUAAGGGAGGCUUUAAUCUCUGAUAUAUAUUGGGAAGUGUUUGCACCUCGAGCUACUAUUAAAGUAGGGAAGGGACUAAAAAGAGAAAGCACGCAGGAAGGGGAAAUAAUAAAAAGAGUUUAUUCUAGGAGACAGAAAAACAAAAUUCAGCUUUUUUCUUCCCCCCAGAUCCUGAUACAUCAAUGAAAGGCUGUUAGGAAGGCACUACAAUUAGAAACCAAUAUCUGUCUGUCAUCAUCAUAUCCUGGUGCCAAAUAUUGAUGCAAAUAUCAUUUACAGCAGCCAGAGGAACUCAGGCCUUUUCUUCUAUUUCGAGUGACUGACAAUAUGUCUGCUACAGGGGGUGGCUGGCCAGGAGAGUUGUCAGGAAGUGGCGUAUCCAUUGCACUUAAAGAUACCACAGUGGAAAGGUUAGUGCUGAGCACUCAUAAGGUUUGAUCCUGCAGAACAGUUAAAUACAUGCUUGACUAUAAGCAUGUGAGCAGUCUUAUUUACUUCAAUGAGAUUAUGCACAUGCUGUGAGUUAAGCAUACACUUAAGGACAUUGCUGGAUCAGCACAAUAUAACCCAGUGAUAGGUACACUAGAAAUACUUAUUGUGACUGAUUAGAUAGCAGGAAUUGCAAUACUUGUCUCUGGAUACCAGAAUGCCUCUAACUUGGCAGGAUUUCACUGCUUUCUGAAUGAUUUUUAUAUGUCACUGCUCUGACAGCACGCAUCAUUUCUUCAUACACAAGAUGUCCACAUCACUGAACCCUCACUGCCAUCAUUAACAUUAAUUGGCUCCCUUGCAGGCAGCCUCCUAGAGUAGCCAAGGAGUGAAUGGAGACUGAAUGGCCCUCUCCCCUCAGAGCAGCAUUGAGAGACACUUGAGGCAGCCAGUGUGUGUAGGUUAGCUUACAUUGUUCAUACUGAGCCUGUUUUCUCUGGAUACAGAGAGGGUUUCAAUAAUCAGAGCUAUCAGUCUGGCUAGUUUUCACCAGCACAGACUCUGCACGCACAAACAUUAAAAAAAAAAGUGUUAAGCAUUUGUAAUAUUUACUUGCAGUGAUAUUAUUCUGCCACUACAUGGCUCUGUGCACUGUAUAGCAUAGCAGGCAAACUAUGGUCCAUGGUAAACAAGACAGACAAAGCUGGAAUGUGAGCUGAGUGGAAGCCUGUUUGAUGGUCUAUAUGUAGUAGCUUUUUAUUAAAGAAAACACUUCACA